ensembl:snoRNA
AAGGGAACCUGUAGAAAACCAAUCAUGUGGACAGAGGAGAAUACCCCUUGUCCACACAUUGCAGUGUUCCUACAUAAACAUGGAGGUCUCUGUCUGACUUUGGACAGCCACUGAGUCAGAUCGUUCCCUCCAUACAGU